UGGGUACACGUAGUUUCUUCCAUUUUAUUUGUAGUCAACUAAUACACAGAGAACUAUUUUAGUGCAGACCAAUAUUCCGCGAAGUUGGGCUUUUCAUUAAGAUCUAGGGAAAGCAGUUUUUUAGAUUGAAAGAAUGCUCAGAGUCCUCUCUGGGGGCAGAUUCUUCCUGAAAGGGGGCCUGGAUCCUUCCAACAUUUUAAGUGAACAGAAUUGCUGGACAUUAUUUUCUUGCACUAAACCUGAUGGACUAGCAAGAGACCCAGCAAUGAAGGUGGGUUCUAGUCCUUCUUCCAGGCAGCACUUGAUGGAGGCCAGGCCACUGACCCCAGCUCCCACAAUUGCAACUCGCUUCACCAUGUUUU
rnacentral:lncRNA from 1 species